GCCGGCGUAGCUUAGCGGUGGAGCACCCGGCUGUUAACCGGGCGGUCGCCGGUUCGAAUCCGGCCGCCGGCG
rnacentral:tRNA from 1 species